CAGGACGAACGUUGGCGGCGUGGAUUAGGCAUGCAAGUCGCACGAGAAAGGUUUCUUCGGAAGCCGAGUAAAGUGGCGGACGGGUGAGUAAUGCAUGGAUAAUUUGCCCUUGAGAUGGGGACAACGCCUCGAAAGGGGUGCUAAUACCAAUACUGCCGCGGGUCGCCGGAUCUGCGGUGAAAGGAGGCCUCUGAUUCAAGCUUCCGCUCAAGGAGAGGUUCAUGUCCUAUUAGCUUGUUGGCGGGGUAACGGCCCACCAAGGCUGCGAUGGGUAGCCGACCUGAGAGGGUGACCGGCCACAUUGGGACUGAGACACUGCCCAGACUCCUACGGGAGGCUGCAGUCGAGAAUCUUCCGCAAUGCGCGAAAGCGUGACGGAGCGACGCCGCGUGGGCGAUGAAGGCCUUCGGGUUGUAAAGCCCUGUCAGCUGUUAUGAAAGGCGGGCGAUGAACAAUUGUCCCGCUUGACGUAAGCAGCAGAGGAAGCACCGGCUAACUACGUGCCAGCAGCCGCGGUAAUACGUAGGGUGCGAACGUUGUUCGGAAUCACUGGGCAUAAAGGGCGUGUAGGCGGUCGUACAAGUCGGAUGUGAAAGCCCCCGGCCUAACCGGGGAACUGCAUUCGAUACUGUACGGCUAGAGUGCAGGAGGGGAGAGUGGAAUUCCUGGUGGGGCGGUGAAAUGCGUAGAUAUCAGGAGGAACGCCGGUGGCGAAAGCGACUCUCUGGCCUGCUACUGACGCUGAGGCGCGAAAGCUAGGGGAGCAAACGGGAUUAGAUACCCCGGUAGUCCUAGCCCUAAACGAUGGGUACUAAGUAGAGGGGAUUCCGAUAUUCUCUCUGCCGGAGCAAAUGUAUUAAGUACCCCGCCUGGGGAGUAUGGUCGCAAGGCUAAAACUCAAAGGUAUUGACGGGGGCUCACACAAGCGGUGGAGCAUGUUGUUCAAUUCGAAGCAACGCGAAGAACCUUACCUGGGUUUGACAUGGUUGGGACCGCCUGCGAAAGCAGGCUUCCUCUUUGAGGCCCUUCCACAGGUGUUGCAUGGCUGUCGUCAGCUCGUGUCGUGAGAUCUCGGGUUAAGUCCCAUAACGAGCGAAACCCUUGUCCUUAGUUGCUAUCGGGUAAAGCCGAGCACUUUAAGGAGACUGCCGGUGUUAAACCGGAGGAAGGUGGGGAUGACGUCAAGUCAUCAUGGCCUUUAUGCCCAGGGCCACAAACGUGCCACAAUGGUCGGUACAGAGAGAUGCAAAGUCGAAAGGCGGAGCAAACCUCAGAAAGCCGAUCCCAGUCCGGAUUGGGGGCUGCAACUCGCCCCCAUGAAGUUGGAAUCGCUAGUAAUCGCGGAUCAGCUACGCCGCGGUGAAU
rnacentral:rRNA from 1 species